GCUAUUUUGGCAGAGAAGUGCAAUGAAUUUAGAAUUCAUGAAUGUAGAUGUUACUACAGGUAGUA
rnacentral:tRNA from 1 species